rnacentral:rRNA from 1 species
CUCAGGACGAACGCUGGCGGCGUGCCUAAUACAUGCAAGUCGAACGCUUCUUUUUCCACCGGAGCUUGCUCCACCGGAAAAAGAGGAGUGGCGAACGGGUGAGUAACACGUGGGUAACCUGCCCAUCAGAAGGGGAUAACACUUGGAAACAGGUGCUAAUACCGUAUAACAAUCRAAACCGCAUGGUUUUGAUUUGAAAGGCGCUUUCGGGUGUCGCUGAUGGAUGGACCCGCGGUGCAUUAGCUAGUUGGUGAGGUAACGGCUCACCAAGGCCACGAUGCAUAGCCGACCUGAGAGGGUGAUCGGCCACAUUGGGACUGAGACACGGCCCAAACUCCUACGGGAGGCAGCAGUAGGGAAUCUUCGGCAAUGGACGAAAGUCUGACCGAGCAACGCCGCGUGAGUGAAGAAGGUUUUCGGAUCGUAAAACUCUGUUGUUAGAGAAGAACAAGGAUGAGAGUAACUGUUCAUCCCUUGACGGUAUCUAACCAGAAAGCCACGGCUAACUACGUGCCAGCAGCCGCGGUAAUACGUAGGUGGCAAGCGUUGUCCGGAUUUAUUGGGCGUAAAGCGAGCGCAGGCGGUUUCUUAAGUCUGAUGUGAAAGCCCCCGGCUCAACCGGGGAGGGUCAUUGGAAACUGGGAGACUUGAGUGCAGAAGAGGAGAGUGGAAUUCCAUGUGUAGCGGUGAAAUGCGUAGAUAUAUGGAGGAACACCAGUGGCGAAGGCGGCUCUCUGGUCUGUAACUGACGCUGAGGCUCGAAAGCGUGGGGAGCAAACAGGAUUAGAUA